AUUGAACGCUGGCGGCAUGCCUUAUACAUGCAAGUCGAACGGCAGCACGGGAGCAAUCCUGGUGGCGAGUGGCGAACGGGUGAGUAAAGUAUCGGAACGUGCCCAGUCGUGGGGGAUAACGUAGCGAAAGUUACGCUAAUACCGCAUACGAUCUAUGGAUGAAAGCGGGGGAUCGCAAGACCUCGCGCGAUUGGAGCGGCCGAUAUCAGAUUAGGUAGUUGGUGGGGUAAAGGCUCACCAAGCCGACGAUCUGUAGCUGGUCUGAGAGGACGACCAGCCGCACUGGGACUGAGACACGGCCCAGGCUCCUACGGGAGGCAGCAGUGGGGAAUUUUGGACAAUGGGCGAAAGCCUGAUCCAGCCAUGCCGCGUGCAGGAUGAAGGCCUUCGGGUUGUAAACUGCUUUUGUACGGAACGAAAAGGUUUGGCCUAAUAAGCUGAGCUCAUGACGGUACCGUAAGAAUAAGCACCGGCUAACUACGUGCCAGCAGCCGCAGUAA
rnacentral:rRNA from 1 species